rnacentral:rRNA from 1 species
CCUACGGGUGGCUGCAGUGGGGAAUAUUGGACAAUGGGCGAAAGCCUGAUCCAGCCAUGCCGCGUGUGUGAAGAAGGCCUUCGGGUUGUAAAGCACUUUCAGUGGGGAAGAAAGCCUUGGGGCUAAUACCCUCGAGGAAGGACAUCACCCACAGAAGAAGCACCGGCUAACUCCGUGCCAGCAGCCGCGGUAAUACGGAGGGUGCGAGCGUUAAUCGGAAUUACUGGGCGUAAAGCGCGCGUAGGCGGUCUGAUAAGCCGGUUGUGAAAGCCCUGGGCUCAACCUGGGAACGGCAUCCGGAACUGUCAGGCUAGAGUGCAGGAGAGGAAGGUAGAAUUCCCGAUGUAGCGGUGAAAUGCGUAGAGAUCGGGAGGAAUACCAGUGGCGAAGGCGGCCUUCUGGACUGACACUGACGCUGAGGUGCGAAAGCGUGGGUAGCAAACAGGAUUAGAUACCCCUGUAGUC